rnacentral:rRNA from 1 species
GACGAACGCUGGCGGCGUGCCUAAUACAUGCAAGUCGAGCGAAUCAGUGGGAGCUUGCUCCCUGAGAUUAGCGGCGGACGGGUGAGUAACACGUGGGUAACCUGCCUGUAAGACUGGGAUAACUUCGGGAAACCGGAGCUAAUACCGGAUACGUUCUUUUCUCGCAUGAGGAGAGAUGGAAAGAUGGUUCUGCUAUCACUUACAGAUGGACCCGCGGCGCAUUAGCUAGUUGGUGAGGUAACGGCUCACCAAGGCGACGAUGCGUAGCCGACCUGAGAGGGUGAGCGGCCACACUGGGACUGAGACACGGCCCAGACUCCUACGGGAGGCAGCAGUAGGGAAUCUACCGCAAUGGACGAAAGUCUGGCGGAGCAACGCCGCGUGAGCGAAGAAGGCCUUCGGGUCGUAAAGCUCUGUUGUUAGGGAAGAACAAGUACGAGAGUAACUGCUCGUACCUUGACGGUACCUAACCAGAAAGCCACGGCUAACUACGUGCCAGCCGCCGCAGUAA